UCCUCCAGAAGCUUCCCGAAUUGCUGUCACCUCUCAAAGAUAAAUACGAGUGUCCUUGAAAUGACCUUGUCCAGCUACACUCAUGGAUGCAUCCCACCAGGUCUUACGGGUGUGCUUGGCCAGUCUGUUUAAAUGGUCCCUAACCCUAUCCUCUUCUGCCAAAGCGGAAAAAUAUUGGAAAAGGAGCAGCCACAGGAAAAUCUGCCAUUAGAAAAUCUUCAAUAAAGAGCUACUCAUGUCCUGCAGGAGGCCAUGAAUUCUCUGGGAAAUGGAAUCUCUGUUGUUAUAUACCUAAGCAGCACCUAUCACCAUGUUUCCUGAGACCUUGCAGAUCUCAAAAAUAAACAUGAUUCCUAAUUUCUGGUGAUGCCACAAGUCCUUGCCAGGCCCUUGUGUUGUUCUUAUUUGGUUACUUUCCACAGACAGAUUUCAUUUCAAACACACAAGAAGAUGUGAACGUCAUGCAGAUUUGAAGGGAGAAAUAAAGGAAUCAAAUGAGAUCUGCAAUUAAACAUAUAUAGUUCACAAGGAGAUUUACAAAAAGAAAUGAGUGAGAUGGAUAGAAAGAGAAACAGAGCACAUAUUGAAAGUGUCCCCUAUUUGCUGAAUGCAGCCUUUGUGAAGACUGAUGGAUCAGAAAAAAACCUGGAAGCUGCAGUGUUCUGUUUAUCCAAAAAUAAAAUAUUGCAUAGGUCAAGCAAGCACAAUGCAAUCCUCUCUCUCUUUCACUGUGUAUCAGCUUUGACCUGAAAAGACAACUCUCUAAUGUGCUGA